GAUGAACGCUGGCGGCGUGCUUAACACAUGCAAGUCGAACGGGAUCCCGGGGGUUCGCUCCCGGGUGAGAGUGGCGAACGGGUGAGUAAUGCGUGACCGACCUGCCCCAUACACCGGAAUAGCUCCUGGAAACGGGUGGUAAUGCCGGAUGCUCCGGUUGGAUGCAUGUCCUUCCGGGAAAGAUUCCAUCGGUAUGGGAUGGGGUCGCGUCCUAUCAGCUUGAUGGCGGGGUAACGGCCCACCAUGGCUUCGACGGGUAGCCGGCCUGAGAGGGCGACCGGCCACAUUGGGACUGAGAUACGGCCCAGACUCCUACGGGAGGCAGCAGUGGGGAAUAUUGCACAAUGGGCGCAAGCCUGAUGCAGCGACGCCGCGUGCGGGAUGGAGGCCUUCGGGUUGUAAACCGCUUUUGAUCGGGAGCAAGCCCUUCGGGGUGAGUGUACCUUUCGAAU
rnacentral:rRNA from 1 species